rnacentral:rRNA from 1 species
GACGAACGCUGGCGGCGUGCUUAACACAUGCAAGUCGAACGGUAAGGCCCUUCGGGGUACACGAGUGGCGAACGGGUGAGUAACACGUGGGUGAUCUGCCCUGCACUUCGGGAUAAGCCUGGGAAACUGGGUCUAAUACCGGAUAGGACCACUGCCUGCAUGGGUGGUGGUGGAAAGCUUUUGCGGUGUGGGAUGGGCCCGUGGCCUAUCAGCUUGUUGGGGGGGUGAUGGCCUACCAAGGCGACGACGGGUAGCCGGCCGGAGAGGGUGCCCGGCCAGACUGGGAGUGAGAUACGGCCCAGACGCAUACGGGAGGCAGCAGUGGGGAAUAUUGCACAAUGGGCGAAAGCCUGAUGCAGCGACGUCGCGUGAGGGAUGACGGCCUUCGGGUUGUAAACCUCUUUCAGCACCGACGAAGCGCAAGUGACGGUAGGUGCAGAAGAAGGACCGGCCAACUACGUGCCAGCCGCCGCAGUAA